UCUCUCAUUUCUUCACUCUCUCGACCGAAACCCUAAGCGGAAGAAGGAGGCGGCGCCUCCUCGUCGCCCGUCGCUAGGAGCUCCGGUCGGCGCUUCCCUUGCGUCGCCGGAGAUUCUGAUGCCCCUCCCUCACAAACCCUCGGUCUCAAACUCAUCUUAGAACAAAAUCCCCAAUUUCAAAACCCUAGCUUUGAAGAAGGAGGCGGCGGAGCACUCCACCGUCGUCUCUGCUCCAAUUUCUUGGCGAUUUAGCGCCGUCGCCGACGUCUCCGGCUGUGGUAGACGCGGCUUGACCCGCCUUGAAGACCAGCUCCGCCACCGCUUCAUUCUUGACUAGCGGAGCCGCCGACAGGGAGGAGGCAUCGCCCUUCUCUUACGCCGACUGUCACCGACGCGAAGUCAACCGCCGACGCUCUGCUGCCGGCGCCACCGGCGACUCGUGCCGCCGCCUUCCGUCGGCGUCACGGAGAAACUCUCCGCCUCCCGUCGCACCAUCGCCGGACAAUCUCUCUAAAAGCUAAGUUCUAUUACCCCUUUCAUUCCUUAGCCCUUUUGAUUAAACUGAGGCAGUAGCUAUGUGCGAUUAAAACUUUGAUUUUGGGGUGUAACUCACUGGAAUGAGCUUGAUUUUUGGGCUAAAGUGUUGAUUUUGAAACGGUUAUAGUUUGCUACUGAAAUUUAGCAUGAGGGCAGCCUAUUGUGCUCUUGUUCCAUUUAUGAGUUAAAGCUCUUCAAGGCUACUACUGCUAUGAGAUUUCUCUAGCAAAUUCUACAUCCUUGAGCUAGCAUGAUGUUCUAAACAAGGGCAGAGAGUGUGCUUGUGUUAUUUUGAUUGUGCUUCCUAAGUUGUGGUGCCUCUAUAUGAUGAUAUGUAAAGCUAUUGGGGAAGGAAGAUGGAGGUGUAUUACCUCUGGAAAAUCGAAGGAGAGGCUGUCUUUGAUGCUUUUCUCCACUUGUUCCACCCUCUACUCUCGGUUUAUGCUGAGAUUUUGAAGUGUGUGUGAAAGGAAGUUGAAUGUGUUGUGGAGGAAAUUUUAUAGGCAAAUUGUGGUGUACUAUGGGGAAUUAAAUGGGGCUGUUGUAUCACUUGUUGUUAUGCUGCAGAAAAUCCCACUUUAAUGAUCCCAUUGCCCCUCCUUCUUGGCUGCAAUUUGGCAUUACAUGGGUACCUAGUACUUGGCUAGCAAUUUGAAUCGUUUGAUUGUGCAGAGAGCAGGUGGCUGUUGUGCCAAGGGUGUUGCAGGGCUGACUUUCCUCUUAUGGUGAUUCUUUGGGUCAUCUAUAACUAAAGAAGGUUGUCUCCAUCCCUAAGGUCGAGACAAGCUUGGUUGCCAAGCUGCUGGCUGUCUGGAACAGUUGAUACCUCGGCCCACGGCUGACCGGAAAACGGGCCGCGACUAUCGGCCCGGGAGGAGAGACCGAUUCUAUUCGAUUAAUGCACAUUUUAUCCUUUCC